AUUGAACGCUGGCGGCAUGCCUAACACAUGCAAGUCGAACGAUGCUUUCGGGCAUAGUGGCGCACGGGUGCGUAACGCGUGGGAAUCUGCCCUUGGGUUCGGAAUAACAGCGAGAAAUUGCUGCUAAUACCGGAUGAUGACGUAAGUCCAAAGAUUUAUCGCCCAGGGAUGAGCCCGCGUAGGAUUAGCUAGUUGGUGGGGUAAAGGCCCACCAAGGCGACGAUCCUUAGCUGGUCUGAGAGGAUGAUCAGCCACACUGGGACUGAGACACGGCCCAGACUCCUACGGGAGGCAGCAGUGGGGAAUAUUGGACAAUGGGGGCAACCCUGAUCCAGCCAUGCCGCGUGAGUGAUGACGGCCUUAGGGUUGUAAAGCUCUUUUACCCGGGACGAUAAUGACGGUACCGGGUGAAUAAGCCCCGGCUAACUUCGUGCCAGCAGCCGCCGUAA
rnacentral:rRNA from 1 species